ACUUACCAAUAAACUUCAUUUUGCAAAGCUAGCUUCUAUACUGACACUUCUAAGUUCUAACCUAUAAGUCCAAGGCAGACUAUACUAAGAAAGUAUACAUUUUCAUUAACUUAUAUAAAGUGUAUCCCAUCUCAGUAACUUUAGCUCAAUGCAUACCUGUUAAAAAAUUCACUCAUAAAUACAAAUGUAGAAGAUAUUAAAUCUAGUAUAUCAAAUGAGCUAUAUUACAAUUUGAACUCAAACCCAUAAAAUUUUAAUCUUGGACUUAAACCCAUAAAAUUUCAAUCCUAAAUCAUUCUCUUACUAAUAAUAUUCUAUUAAAUUACACGGAGCGUCCUAUUUGGUUGUCCCCAUUUUACUUAUAUCCAUUUUUUUAAAAAGAGUUUUAAUUUGUACCCACUUUUUAAAUAACAAUUCAACCCCUUUCUCCUCCUCCUCAUCCUUCUUCUGCCGCUCUUAGUGCUAAAGUUUUUACAAAUGAACUAAAUAACUUCAGCAUCACAAAACUUCAGCUACUAGAAUGCUUAAGUUCAGCAAUUACAAAUAAACACUUCAGCAAAUAAAGAGCAAAACUUCAAUACUAGAAUGCUUAAAUUAAACAAUUACAAAUAAAAAUUUCAGUAUACUUGGUUCAUUAAUUUUUCCUACUUCAGACGCGUCUAUUAGAAUACUAAAAUUUGCGUGAUUGCCUUUGCUACUUC
rnacentral:lncRNA from 1 species